ACGCUCGACACCUACGGGGGGCAGCAGUGGGGAAUAUUGCACAAUGGGGGAAACCCUGAUGCAGCGACGCCGCGUGAAGGAAGAAGUAUCUCGGUAUGUAAACUUCUAUCAGCAGGGAAGAAAAUGACGGUACCUGACUAAGAAGCCCCGGCUAACUACGUGCCAACAGCCGCGGUAAUCUGAGCGGGCUGGCAAGGC
rnacentral:rRNA from 1 species